rnacentral:lncRNA from 1 species
CAGGCACAGCCCACUCGAACAUGACAAAGCAAAAAACAGACAUUCACUCCCAGCCUGGUGGUUUCACCUCCAGUUCUCAGACAUAAGAUUAACUCAGAACUACUUGGAGUUUCCUACGUGGCGGCGACACUUCCCGAAUGCUGACGCUCUGCCCCUCUUCGAAGGCCUGCUUUUAUUUUUCCUGUCCAGGUCAUCUCUGCAAGUCAUUAAAGUUAAAGGUUCCGACUGUGCUAUUCUAGAAAAGACAAGAACAACAGACUCCUUAAGCAGGCUAGCCCAGGCAUGUUCUCAUGGCACGGUGGAGAGACACUACAGAGGAAGUGGAAUCAUGCAGGCUAUUCAACCUUCUAAGUGUGAGAUGUUGCUAACUACCAUCCCGUUGGCCAAAGUUCUUUUCCUACCUGAGGCACCGUAGGACCCCUG